CCUACGGGCGGCAGCAGUGGGGAAUAUUGGACAAUGGGGGCAACCCUGAUCCAGCCAUGCCGCGUGUGUGAAGAAGGCCCUCGGGUUGUAAAGCACUUUCAGUGAGGAAGAACGCCUGGUGGUUAAUACCCAUCAGGAAAGACAUCACUCACAGAAGAAGCACCGGCUAACUCCGUGCCAGCAGCCGCGGUAAUACGGAGGGUGCGAGCGUUAAUCGGAAUUACUGGGCGUAAAGCGCGCGUAGGUGGCUUGAUAAGCCGGUUGUGAAAGCCCCGGGCUCAACCUGGGAACGGCAUCCGGAACUGUCAAGCUAGAGUGCAGGAGAGGAAGGUAGAAUUCCCGGUGUAGAGGUGAAAUGCGUAGAGAUCGGGAGGAAUACCAGUGGCGAAGGCGGCCUUCUGGACUGACACUGACACUGAGGUGCGAAAGCGUGGGUAGCAAACAGGAUUAGAUACCCCAGUAGUC
rnacentral:rRNA from 1 species